rnacentral:misc_RNA from 1 species
GGCACUUUUUAAGAGAUCUAUACAAACAGAAAUUGUUUAUAUAGAUCUUCACUGAAAAUGGCGAAUUCCUCUAGAAGGCCGAGUGGGCCAGUGUUGCUUAAAUCGGCGUUUGAGAGGUCAAUCUCACCUACCGGCAGGUUCUGUAACACCACCACCACAGCAACUGAUGCGAUGUCGUUCGCUUCGUACAGCAACUCUAGCUUUUAUUCCUCUCCGUCGACCGGCUGUUUCAACCGAUCGGCUUCUCCGACGCGCGUGAAUCUUCACGCUCUGGCGCCGGUGAAUUCUUCGCCUAGCGUUAGGUUCUCCAUUGACAGAUCCAUUUCUCCUCGGCGUUCCAUGGCGGUGUCUCAACGUGAUCAGGUGGUUCGGAAGCAGAUCCCGAAGAGGACGUGCUUAUGCUCACCUACGACGCAUCCUGGUUCGUUCAGGUGUAGUAUGCAUAAGAAUGUGAAGAAUACUCCUUCGAUUUCGUAUUCCCCUAGCCGAUUGAAUGCACGGAGAUCGGCGAUGACAAAUUCACUGGUGCGUAUCUGUUCUGUUGAAGGUGAUUUAGUGAAACGAGCUUUGGCUGCUCUUAUUAGGCCAUCGUCGCAUCAUCAGAGACGUCGAGGUGACUUUCAACCGCGUCCUAGCCGGCUUUCCAGAAUGUCCAAAGCUGAUAACCUGUGAAAUUUCCGUGGUAACAGGUUGGUGAUUUUCAUAUAUUAACUGAGGCUCAUCUCUUGAGAGUUUUCCGGCGGCGGCGUCUGAUCCUGGCUGCGGUUCUUACUACUCCGGUGAAAUGAAAGCUGUAGGGCAAUUUUGAUGCACCUUUGUGUUUUCCGUCGUGUUUGGCGUUCAUCGUUCCGUUUUGCGAUGGCAUUUCCCGUUCGUUCGCCGUAUAUGCGUUCGUCCUGUUUUGGCAUCUUUGCGUCAUCGUUCGAGGUUCGGCGUAUAAUUCAAAUUCUUGGACUAACGGAGAGCUGAUGCCGUGUACGUAUUUAACUACAGAUCUUCGUAAAUUUUACCUUGUCUUGGAUGACGGAGGGAGAUGGGAGACUGAAAAUGAACGUUAAAUUCAAGUGAGACAUUUGAACCUACUGGACAAAGUAACAAAAGAGGAAUCUUGUUAUUACAAUAAUGAAAAUAAUAAUAAUAGUAAAGUCUAAAAGGAGAAAUAAUAAUUUGGAAAUUAAGUAAAGGGGAAACGCCAUUAAUGAAAGCAAGAAAAUGGGAUACAGGCUGUACUGGUAUGGCCCAGUUAGAAUGCCAGUGGUCCUAAGCAUGAACUUUCCCGAACAUUGUGAAGUUACGGUAUGAUUAAAAAUAGCUGGAGGUUAGUUGGCAUAUUGAGGGAAAGAUAGGAAAUGAGGAAUGAGUCCAAAAAAAGGGAGGUCUUGAGUAGUUCCUACUUCAUGAUCCAGUCCCUUUUUGUUCAUAUUCAUUCACACUCCCAUUUAAUAUCCACCCUAUAUAUACCAAAAACUAGUGACACAGAGUGCCAAGGAGAGGACUUGGAAAACGAAAGUUUUUUAUUAUCAACCUAAACAUGACACCAUUGGAAUGGUUGCCACACUGCCACUCUAUUUGUUAAUAUCCAUUAAUAUUUCUUGCAAGAAAUCUACAAUUAUUUUAAACCUAAAGUAACACUUAUUGGUCAUGAUUCAACUGUAUUUGACAUAAUUCUUUUAUAAGUUAGAUUUCAACCAUUACCUAAAGAUCUUUAGCAACCACAUAACUCAUUCACCUUGUAAAAAGCUUGUUGACCUAGAAAAGACAUAAGAUAAUGCUCACAAAAUUUCCAAGGAAGUUUUAUAAAGGUGUUUGGAGUUUAAAGGUGUUCUCUUUUGGCUUAUAAUAAAGCAAUUAAAGACAUUUUAUGAUGGAGCCAAAGAUUUGGAUAGGAAUUGUGAGAGGUGAUUAUUAAAACAUUUUUCUAUCAUGACGAGGUUGCACGAGGGAUCUACCCUUAGUAUGUUAGGAUGAAUUAACGUGGUGUAUUUAAGGAGAGGUGUCAUGAAUAUGUAUGAUAUUCGCUAAUGACAUAUUAUUUAUCAACCAAACGUGCAGUUGAGUUAGCGAUAGGUUGGAAGUUUGGACACGGUCCCUAGAUCUAAAGGUGUCAAAUUACAUGACUAAAACAAAGUACAUGGAGUGCAAGUUCAAUGGUGUAACACAUGAAAACAGAGGUGGAAGUGAAGAUUAAUAUACAAGUCAUACCCGGAAGAGGAUGUUUCAAGUAUCUUGGGUCAAUAAUCCAAGAAAACGAAAAAUAUUGAUGAUGACUCACACGUUGUAUUGGAGUGGAAGGGUGAAUUGGAGGUUUGCUUUCGGCAUACUAUGUGAUAAGAAUGUGUCACUAGAGCUUAAAGGUAAGUUCCGUAUAGUAAUGGUUAGACCUACUUCGUUGUAUGAGGAUAGAGUGCAGGCGAAUCAAGAACACGCAUGUUUAAAAGAUGAAAUUAGCAGAUAUGAGGAGGAUGCUCAGAUGCGUGUUUAGCAUACUAAGAGAGAUAAGAUUAGGAACAAAGUUAUACAAGAUAAGGCGGAAGUUAGUGACUACUAUGGCAGACAAGAUGAGGGAAGAAAUUAAGAUAGUUCGGACAUGUGAAGAGGAGGUGUGCGGAUGCACCAAUAAAAAGGUGUGAGAGGCUGACUAUGAGAACACACCGUUUCUGCGAAGAAGGUAUGUAAGACAGAGGUUUCCUAACAAACGAUAUUCUCCUUCUCUUGAUUACUUGUUACUAACAGAUUCAGUCAGCUUAGCUGUUUUGAUAAGGCAAUGCAGGUUGAUAGCAAGUUCAAGUGGAUUGAGGAAAUGAUGAAGUGUACUCACUCCACAUAAAUCAAAGUUGGGGGUUGGUCAAACUACCAGAAGGGAAUAAGACAAUCCAGAAUAAUGUAUGUACAGGAUGAAACAGAAGCAUAAUAGUUCAAUGAAAUAUAAAGCAAGGUUGGUAAUAAAAGGUUUUCAACAAAAGGCAUGUAUCAAUUUACUGAGAUUUUCUCCCUUGUGAUUAAAUUACCUACUAUUCGAGUUGCUUUAGAAUUGCUGUAGCAUAAGAUUUAUAUUUAGAGCAUUUAGAUGUAAGGACAGCCUCUCUUUAUGAUGAUCAACAUGAAAGACGUGUAUGCGUAGCAACCUGAAGUGUACAUACAGGCUGAUAAGAAAAAUAUGGUGCGUAGACUGAAGAAGAGUCUCUAUGGUUUGAAACAAGCACCAAGACCAUACUUAAAGUUUGGCAGGUUUAUGAUGACUAUUGGCUUACUUGGUAUAAUGAUGAUCACUGUUCUUACUUCAAGAAAUUUAUAAAUUCGUACAUCACUUUGCUCCUGUAUAUGGAUGAUAUGUUGGUGACAGGUUAAAACAUGUGUGGGAUCACAAAACUGAAGGAGCAAAUGUCUAGUGAAUUUUUUGAUAAAGAAUUUGGGACUGGAAAUUGAAAGAGACAGGUUGAAGCUGAGUCAGAAGAAAUAGAUUGAAAAAAUAAUUCUUAAAGAGGCUAAACAUUUGGGAUGCCAAGUUGGUGCACUUCAAGAAAAUCUGAAAGCAAGUCCUUUGGCAGGUCACUUGAAUUGGGAUUGUUUUUGGCAAGCGUAGAAGUUAACUUUGUUUGAAAGAAAGAAUCUUGAGACACAGGUUUCAUAGAGGAGCAGAUUACAAAGUGUUGCUUUAUUGCAGAAGUUGAUUUGGUGAGCUCCACCCUUCACCGUGGAAUUUCUUCUUUUUUCAGUUAGAAUUUUUUUUAAUUCAGUUUUUGGGGAAUAGCCAGAAAAUUUGUGUUCUGUGCAUUCCCUUUAGCGCUCCAGUAGAAAGUGUCGGCUCUUGGUUGAAGCCGGUAAAUCAAAC